UCCACGCCCUAAACGAUGAACACUAGUCGUCGGGAUGCUAGGCAUUGGUUGUGUAAUAAUGAUCAGUGCCGCAGCUUACGCAUUAAGCAUUCCGCCUGGGGAGUACGUUCGCAAGAAUGAAACUCAAAGGAAUUGGCGGGGGCCCGCACAAGCGGUGGAGCAUGUGGUUUAAUUCGACGCAACGCGAAGAACCUUACCCAGACUUGACAUCCUGUGGAUCUGUAAGAGAUUA
rnacentral:rRNA from 1 species